rnacentral:lncRNA from 1 species
UUCCUCUUUCUCGGGUGGAGUUUCGGGCGGUGAAGGCGUGUGUGCGGGUGCUCCGCGCUCAUUGUAGUACAAUUUCGCUCUAGGAGGCAGCAGAAUGCUUAAAUUGUGCCCUGGUAUGGGUAGGUUGUUACAGAGAGUACUGUACUCACCAGAAAAGUCACUGGUUGCCUUGAAGAUAAAUUGUAAAGAAAACUGCAUUAAAUGUGGGCUGAGAACCAUGAUACCAAGCCAAGCAGGCAGACCUUUCCAUACUGGUGAAGUUUUGGGCAAGGAGGAUGGUCGCAGAGCUGUGAAAGUGCCCAAACCUGAUGAUGGAACUGAGGGUGAAGCAAGCAUUAGUCUGGACUACAGGCUAUCAGACAGCACAUUCCCAGAUGAAAAUACUCCCAAUAUCCUGGUGGAAGGGGUGAAGUUCUCAGACCUGCCGAUUUGCAGUGUGAGGGUCUCAAAGAACAACACAGUGUUCUCAAUUUCUACAUCUCAAGGGCUUGUGAAGAUGAUACGUUCCUGUGGAAUGGAGGGUUUUAAGAACACCAAGAAAGGUACAAAUGUUGCUGCUCAGGCAACUGGAAUUGCAAUGGCUGUGAGAGCCUUGAACAAAGGCUACAAGAAUGUCCGGGUGCUGAUUCGAGGCCUGGGGCCAGGGCGCAUGGUAAGUACAUGACAUGCAGAGAAGUGAGAUAUAUGUGAAGCUCAAUUCAUGUGUACACACCAUGCUGUGUAAUUGCGGUUGUAAGCGCGCUGAGUGUUUUUAAACAGUAACAUCAGUGGAGUUCAUUUCAUCACAUGCUGUGCUCAAAAUGUAGGUAAAUGUGUAUCCACCCAACAAGAUAUCACUACACUGCUGAUUGUCAUGACCUGAAUGAAAUUGGAAUAGUAUUUAUUUCUUCCUAUGUGUAAAUAAUUGA